rnacentral:misc_RNA from 1 species
GGUAUUUGCAUUUUGAUUAUGCAUGGGAAGAGUUCUAUGCCAAUUGUUUGUCAGCCUAACAAGAUGGAUAGAAAGGUUCCCAUGCAUAAUCAAAAUGCAAAUACCAAUGAAUCAAGGAAUUUCCAUCCAAACAUGAUACAGACACCUUAAUUGACUAAGAAGCACAUCAAGGUAAAAUCCAAUCUUAUAGAUUUCGGGUGCUUAAACCAGUCCUGUAAGGUUUUUUAGCCCUUACCCCUGACUACUAUUGGUCUCAUUUUCAAUGUUUGCAUUUCCUGGAUUAACAAAUCCGCUUUUGUACAAAAGGUGCAAUUCAUAAAUAUGGGCAAGUCUUACUGUUUUCGUGCUGCUUCUUUCCCCCACUUUCCAUUGAUUUUCUGAAGUACUUGUUGAUGUUUUCCCAUUUCUCUUUACACUUCUUUGCAGUUCGGUUAUAGCCCAUAUUGCACAUUCCAACAGAUAUCUCAUCCCAAAUAUUAGAGCAUUUGGUGCCCAUAGCUCGGAACUUCUGUUCCAAAGCAGUUCGUAGCAUUAUAAGGGCUUGUACUUCAGCCUCUGGCCAUCUUCUAUUACUUGGAUCACACUUGAAAUCAUUUUGAAUGGAAAUACUGCUUGCAUCUUUUUCUCCAUGUUUCUCUGCAUGUGAGGUGAUUGCUGUUAAAGGUUGAGGGAUUUCAAUUUUAUCGCCCAUCACAUUCUGAAUAAGGGAAAUGAGGGCUACGUUACGAGCAUUCUCUUGGGCCCUUAGCUCUUCAUCCCUUCUCAUCCUCUCUCUCUCCUGCUGUUUCCAAGCUUCUUCUCUUAUCAUUCUUUCCCUCUCUAUCCUCUCCAUCGUCUCUAUCAACUGCUUAUGCAUCUGCUCUUGCUUCUCCAUGACCUUUGAUACCAAGUUUUCCAAAAAAUCCUUAAGUUUUUCCCUAGUUCUUCUUUUUCUCUUCCGACCAACACAUCCCUUAAUGAUGCCUGCUGAUGAAUCAUCAUCUGAAAAUGAACUGGAUUCAACCUCCAAUAAACCUCUAACACCAUUCGGGUGCUGAUUCUCUCCACCCGCAUCCGACCCAAUUCCCGCCGAACUAUCCGCUACCAAACACGGAGCACCAGUAACCCCAAAGCUAUUCAGCACCAUCUCACUGGCCUCUGCUUUCACUGGCGGCUUGAAAUACUCGC